rnacentral:rRNA from 1 species
GACGAACGCUGGCGGCGUGCUUAACACAUGCAAGUCGAGCGGAGCGGCGAACGGGUGAGUAACGCGUGAGUAACUGCCCCCCUCUCUGGGAUAACAGUUGGAAACGGCUGCUAAUACCGGAUAGUGGGGGAUGAUUCGCGUCCUAUCAGCUAGUGGGUGGGGUAGUGGCCUACCAAGGCGACGACGGGUAGCCGGCCUGAGAGGGCGACCGGCCGCAUGGGACUGAGUUACAGCCAGAAAUCCUACGGGAGCCAGCAGUGGCGAAUAUUGCACAAUGGGGGAAGCCCUGGAGGAAGAACGCCGCGUGCGGGAUAACGGCGUUCGGGAUGUAAACGGCUUUCAGCCAUGACGCGUUAGUGUCAGAAGAAGCACCGGCUAACUACGUGCCAGCAGCCGCGGUAAUUC